rnacentral:rRNA from 1 species
GACGAACCGUGCGAACGUUGUUCGGAAUCACUGGGCUUAAAGGGCGCGUAGGCGGGCUGUCAAGUCUGGGGUGAAAUGCCGCGGCUCAACCGUGGAACUGCCUUAGAUACUGACGGCCUCGAGGAAGGUAGGGGCAUGCGGAACUGUAGGUGGAGCGGUGAAAUGCGUUGAUAUCUACAGGAACUCCGGUGGCGAAAGCGGCGUGCUGGACCUUCUCUGACGCUGGGGCGCGAAAGCUAGGGGAGCAAACGGG